AGAAAUAUGCAUAUACAAGGUACAUCAUAG
rnacentral:sRNA from 1 species